rnacentral:rRNA from 1 species
GUGAGGAAUAUUGGUCAAUGGUCGGAAGACUGAACCAGCCAUGCCGCGUGCAGGAAGACGGUCCUAUGGAUUGUAAACUGCUUUUAUUCGGGGAUAAACCUCCUUACGUGUAGGGAGCUGAAGGUACCGAAAGAAUAAGCACCGGCUAACUCCGUGCCAGCAGCCGCGGUAAUACGGAGGGUGCAAGCGUUAUCCGGAAUCAUUGGGUUUAAAGGGUCCGCAGGCGGGAUUGUAAGUCAGUGGUGAAAUCCGGCAGCUCAACUGUCGCACUGCCAUUGAUACUGCAGUCCUUGAAUUCGAUUGGAGUGGGCGGAAUAUGUCAUGUAGCGGUGAAAUGCUUAGAUAUGACAUAGAACACCGAUAGCGAAGGCAGCUCACUAAGUCUGAAUUGACGCUCAUGGACGAAAGCGCGGGUAGCAAACAGGAUUAGAAACCCGGGUAGUCC